AAAAUAAAAAAGGAGUCUGCCUCGACGGGAGAGGUCGGGGGGGCUUCGCCGCAGGCUGCCCUCCACGCUCAGACAGCCACCUCCCCUCCAGGCGCCCAGACGGGACCCCAAAAGGAGCACCUGCUGCACCUGCGCCCCGCGAUCCGACACGAGACGCCCGCCCGGCGCCCCUGCGCGCGGUUGGGAGACGCCGAGCAGAGCCACGUCCCAGGAACCAGGAACCUGCAGCCGAAUCCCGAGCUGAUCGGCAGCACCACCCGCCCCCAUGCCGGCCCCUAGGUCAGGCGUCUGUUCCACCAGGAAUCGAAUUCUGUGACUAAACAAAAUGCGAAGAGGAAGCAGGAACCACCAGGAACCUGAAACGGAGUUGUGAUUUCUGGUUGCAAUGUCAUGCAACUGAGAAAAAAAAAAGAGAGAGAGAGAGAAA